rnacentral:tRNA from 1 species
GUCCCGUUAGUCUAGUGGCCAUAAGGAUUCGGCCCUUUCAAGGCUGAGACACGGGUUCAAAUCCCGUACGGGGCA